CACUGAUGUAUUACUUUAACUUCAAGCUUUCUAACUUUCCUUUUCCUAAAGGUGGAUUAUUUGCCCUACUCUUUAAAUGAUCAAUCAUUAUUCAAGAUCUUUCUACUCAAAAGUGCAAUGAAAAGCUGCUGGCUUAUCUUAAGGUUAAGUGGAUUCGAAUUUAGAAGAAAGAAGGAAAAGAAAAAUGAGGUUCAAGCAGACAAGUGUAUAUAUGUGGGGAAAAAACAGAUGGAAUUAAUUAUGGUACAAGCAGUGAAAGCCAAAGGAUAAGCAAUAGCAAGUACAGGGAAAUUCUCCAGGGGCAAGAUGAAAAGGGAAUGGUGGGAAAGAGUAGACAGUGGCAGGGAAGCAGAACUGGGCAAAGACUCCUAUAUCAGUUGCCAAAAAAAUACUUCUGCCCAGGAGAACUUGAUGACUGCUACUGAAAGGGAAAAUCAAAAGCUGGUUCUUUGAAAAGAUCAACAAAAUGGACAAACCUUUACCUAGGCUGACCAA